CCUACGGGAGGCAGCAGUGGGGGAUAUUGGACAAUGGGGGAAACCCUGAUCCAGCGACGCCGCGUGAGUGAAGAAGUAUUUCUGUAUGUAAAGCUCUAUCAGCAGGGAAGAAAGAAAUGACGGUACCUGAGUAAGAAGCCCCGGCUAACUACGUGCCAGCAGCCGCGGUAAUACGUAGGGGGCAAGCGUUAUCCGGAAUUACUGGGUGUAAAGGGAGCGUAGACGGUAAUGCAAGUCUGGAGUGAAAGGCGGGGGCCCAACCCCCGGACUGCUCUGGAAACUGUGUAACUGGAGUGCAGGAGAGGUAGGCGGAAUUCGUAGUGUAGCGGUGAAAUGCGUAGAUAUUAGGAGGAACACCAGUGGCGAAGGCGGCCUGCUGGACUGCAACUGACGUUGAGGCUCGAAAGCGUGGGGAGCAAACAGGAUUAGAUACCCUUGUAGUC
rnacentral:rRNA from 1 species